rnacentral:tRNA from 1 species
GCGAGCGUGGCGGAAAGGCAGACGCGCCAGGUUCAGGACCUGGUGGGUGUAUACCCGUGGAGGUUCAACUCCUCUCGCUCGCACCA